rnacentral:rRNA from 1 species
CUUAAAGGAAUUGACGGGGGCCCGCACAAGCGGUGGAGCAUGUGGUUUAAUUCGAUGAUACGCGAGGAACCUUACCUGGGCUCAAAUGUAUGUUGACGUAUUCUGAAAGGGAUACUUCUUCGGACAAUAUACAAGGUGCUGCAUGGUUGUCGUCAGCUCGUGCCGUGAGGUGUCGGGUUAAGUCCCAUAACGAGCGCAACCCCUAUCAUUAGUUGCCAUCAGGUCAAGCUGGGGACUCUAAAGGAACUGCCUACGCAAGUAGUGAGGAAGGCGGGGAUGACGUCAAAUCAGCACGGCCCUUACGUCCAGGGCUACACACGUGCUACAAUGGCCGAUACAGAGGGCAGCUACCUGGUGACAGGAUGCAAAUCUCCAAAGUCGGUCUCAGUUCGGAUCGGAGUCUGCAACCCGACUCCGUGAAGUUGGAUUCGCUAGUAAUCGCGCAUCAGCCAUGGCGCGGUGAAUACGUUCCCGGGCCUU